rnacentral:rRNA from 1 species
UAGGGAAUCUUCCGCAAUGGGCGAAAGCCUGACGGAGCAACGCCGCGUGAGUGAUGAAGGUUUUCGGAUCGUAAAACUCUGUUAUUAGGGAAGAACAAAUGUGUAAGUAACUAUGCACGUCUUGACGGUACCUAAUCAGAAAGCCACGGCUAACCACGUGCCAGCAGCCGCGGUAAUACGUAGGUGGCAAGCGUUCUUCGGAAUUAUUGGGCGUAAAGCGCGCGUAGGCGGUUUUUUAAGUCUGAUGUGAAAGCCCACGGCUCAACCGGGGAGGGUCAUUGGAAACUGGAAAACUUGAGUGCAGAAGAGGGGGGUGGAAUUCCACGUGUAGCGGUGAGAUGCGCAGAGAUAUGGAGGAACACAAGUGGCGAAGGCGACUUUCUGGUCUAUAACUGACGCUGAUGUGCGAAAGCGUGGGGAUCAAACAGG